CUGUGAGCUCGAUGAGUAGGGCGGGACACGUGGUAUCCUGUCUGAAUAUGGGGGGACCAUCCUCCAAGGCUAAAUACUCCUGACUGACCGAUAGUGAACCAGUACCGUGAGGGAAAGGCGAAAAGAACCCCGGCGAGGGGAGUGAAAAAGAACCUGAAACCGUGUACGUACAAGCAGUGGGAGCACGCUUCGGCGUGUGACUGCGUACCUUUUGUAUAAUGGGUCAGCGACUUAUAUUCUGUAGCAAGGUUAACCGAAUAGGGGAGCCGAAGGGAAACCGAGUCUUAACUGGGCGUUAAGUUGCAGGGUAUAGACCCGAAACCCGGUGAUCUAGCCAUGGGCAGGUUGAAGGUUGGGUAACACUAACUGGAGGACCGAACCGACUAAUGUUGAAAAAUUAGCGGAUGACUUGUGGCUGGGGGUGAAAGGCCAAUCAAACCGGGAGAUAGCUGGUUCUCCCCGAAAGCUAUUUAGGUAGCGCCUCGUGAAUUCAUCUCCGGGGGUAGAGCACUGUUUCGGCAAGGGGGUCAUCCCGACUUACCAACCCGAUGCAAACUGCGAAUACCGGAGAAUGUUAUCACGGGAGACACACGGCGGGUGCUAACGUCCGUCGUGAAGAGGGAAACAACCCAGACCGCCAGCUAAGGUCCCAAAGUCAUGGUUAAGUGGGAAACGAUGUGGGAAGGCCCAGACAGCCAGGAUGUUGGCUUAGAAGCAGCCAUCAUUUAAAGAAAGCGUAAUAGCUCACUGGUCGAGUCGGCCUGCGCGGAAGAUGUAACGGGGCUAAACCAUGCACCGAAGCUGCGGCAGCGACACUAUGUGUUGUUGGGUAGGGGAGCGUUCUGUAAGCCUGUGAAGGUGUACUGUGAGGUAUGCUGGAGGUAUCAGAAGUGCGAAUGCUGACAUAAGUAACGAUAAAGCGGGUGAAAAGCCCGCUCGCCGGAAGACCAAGGGUUCCUGUCCAACGUUAAUCGGGGCAGGGUGAGUCGACCCCUAAGGCGAGGCCGAAAGGCGUAGUCGAUGGGAAACAGGUUAAUAUUCCUGUACUUGGUGUUACUGCGAAGGGGGGACGGAGAAGGCUAUGUUGGCCGGGCGACGGUUGUCCCGGUUUAAGCGUGUAGGCUGGUUUUCCAGGCAAAUCCGGAAAAUCAAGGCUGAGGCGUGAUGACGAGGCACUACGGUGCUGAAGCAACAAAUGCCCUGCUUCCAGGAAAAGCCUCUAAGCAUCAGGUAACAUCAAAUCGUACCCCAAACCGACACAGGUGGUCAGGUAGAGAAUACCAAGGCGCUUGAGAGAACUCGGGUGAAGGAACUAGGCAAAAUGGUGCCGUAACUUCGGGAGAAGGCACGCUGAUAUGUAGGUGAAGCGACUUGCUCGUGGAGCUGAAAUCAGUCGAAGAUACCAGCUGGCUGCAACUGUUUAUUAAAAACACAGCACUGUGCAAACACGAAAGUGGACGUAUACGGUGUGACGCCUGCCCGGUGCCGGAAGGUUAAUUGAUGGGGUUAGCGGUAACGCGAAGCUCUUGAUCGAAGCCCCGGUAAACGGCGGCCGUAACUAUAACGGUCCUAAGGUAGCGAAAUUCCUUGUCGGGUAAGUUCCGACCUGCACGAAUGGCGUAAUGAUGGCCAGGCUGUCUCCACCCGAGACUCAGUGAAAUUGAACUCGCUGUGAAGAUGCAGUGUACCCGCGGCAAGACGGAAAGACCCCGUGAACCUUUACUAUAGCUUGACACUGAACAUUGAGCCUUGAUGUGUAGGAUAGGUGGGAGGCUUUGAAGUGUGGACGCCAGUCUGCAUGGAGCCGACCUUGAAAUACCACCCUUUAAUGUUUGAUGUUCUAACGUUGGCCCGUUAUCCGGGUUGCGGACAGUGUCUGGUGGGUAGUUUGACUGGGGCGGUCUCCUCCUAAAGAGUAACGGAGGAGCACGAAGGUUGGCUAAUCCUGGUCGGACAUCAGGAGGUUAGUGCAAUGGCAUAAGC
rnacentral:rRNA from 1 species